rnacentral:rRNA from 1 species
UGCAGUCGAGCGGACAGAUGGGAGCUUGCUCCCUGAUGUUAGCGGCGGACGGGUGAGUAACACGUGGGUAACCUGCCUGUAAGACUGGGAUAACUCCGGGAAACCGGGGCUAAUACCGGAUGCUUGUUUGAACCGCAUGGUUCAAACAUAAAAGGUGGCUUCGGCUACCACUUACAGAUGGACCCGCGGCGCAUUAGCUAGUUGGUGAGGUAAUGGCUCACCAAGGCAACGAUGCGUAGCCGACCUGAGAGGGUGAUCGGCCACACUGGGACUGAGACACGGCCCAGACUCCUACGGGAGGCAGCAGUAGGGAAUCUUCCGCAAUGGACGAAAGUCUGACGGAGCAACGCCGCGUGAGUGAUGAAGGUUUUCGGAUCGUAAAGCUCUGUUGUUAGGGAAGAACAAGUACCGUUCGAAUAGGGCGGCACCUUGACGGUACCUAACCAGAAAGCCACGGCUAACUACGUGCCAGCAGCCGCGGUAAUACGUAGGUGGCAAGCGUUGUCCGGAAUUAUUGGGCGUAAAGGGCUCGCAGGCGGUUCCUUAAGUCUGAUGUGAAAGCCCCCGGCUCAACGGGGGAGGGUCAUUGGAAACUGGGGAACUUGAGUGCAGAAGAGGAGAGUGGAAUUCCACGUGUAGCGGUGAAAUGCGUAGAGAUGUGGAGGAACACCAGUGGCGAAGGCGACUC